GAGGGUACAGCUCAGUGGUAGAGUGUGUGCUUAGCAUGCACAAGGUCCUGGGUUCAAUCCUCAGUACCUCCA
rnacentral:tRNA from 1 species